rnacentral:rRNA from 1 species
UACGAAGGGUGCAAGCGUUGUCCGGAUUUAUUGGGCGUAAAGCGCGUGUAGGUGGCCAAGUAGGUCCGCUGUGAAAACUUGAGGCUCAACCUCAAGCUGUCGGUGGAAACCCCUUGGCUAGAGUCCGGAAGAGGAGAGUGGAAUUCCUGGUGUAGCGGUGAAAUGCGCAGAUAUCAGGAAGAACACCAAUGGCGAAGGCAGCUCUCUGGGACGGUACUGACACUGAGACGCGAAAGCGUGGGGAGCGAACAGG